rnacentral:rRNA from 1 species
CCUACGGGUGGCAGCAGUGAGGAAUAUUGGUCAAUGGACGAGAGUCUGAACCAGCCAAGUAGCGUGAAGGAUGACUGCCCUAUGGGUUGUAACUUUCUUUUAUAUGGGAAUAAAACGUUCCACGUGUGGGAUUUUGUAUGUACCAUAUGAAUAAGGAUCGGCUAACUCCGUGCCAGCAGCCGCGGUAAUACGGAGGAUCCGAGCUUUAUCCGGAUUUUUUGGGUUUAAGGGGAGCGUGGGUGGAUUGUUAAGUAAGUUGUGAAAGUUUGCGGCUCAACCGUAAAAUUGCAGUUGAAACUGGCAGUCUGGAGUACAGUAGAGGUGGGCGGAAUGCGUGGUGUAGCGGUGAAAUGCUUAGAUAUCACGAAGAACUCCGAUUGCGAAGGCAGUUCACUGGACUGCAACUGACACUGAGGCUCGAAAGUGUGGGUAUCAAACAGGAUUAGAUACCCGAGUAGUC